UAGGGAAUCUUCGGCAAUGGACGAAAGUCUGACCGAGCAACGCCGCGUGAGUGAAGAAGGUUUUCGGAUCGUAAAACUCUGUUGGUAGAGAAGAACGUUGGUGAGAGUGGAAAGCUCAUCAAGUGACGGUAACUACCCAGAAAGGGACGGCUAACUACGUGC
rnacentral:rRNA from 1 species